rnacentral:rRNA from 1 species
UACGUAGGGCGCAAGCGUUAUCCGGAAUUAUUGGGCGUAAAGAGCUCGUAGGCGGUUUGUCGCGUCUGCCGUGAAAGUCCGGGGCUCAACUCCGGAUCUGCGGUGGGUACGGGGCAGACUAGAGUGAUGUAGGGGGAGACUGGAAUUCCUGGUGUAGCGGUGAAAAUGCGCAGAUAUCGAGAGGAACACCGGUGGCGAAGGCGGCGAUCUGGGACGGUGACUGACGCUGAGACGCGAAAAAACGUGGGGGAGCAAAACAG